rnacentral:lncRNA from 1 species
AUGACUUUACUUAGGGUGUAUGGGUUUGUGUUCAGCUGGGUCCCUCCAUGCAGCAAGAACCAGGAUGGAAACAUCCAGGCCAGAUCCACUAACCACAGUGUUGCUUCAGUGGGAAACUUCUUGAGUAAUAGCUGCGUUUCAGGACCACCAAUUAAGCAGUUCUUGAUACCUGGAUAAUUAAUUCCCCGUACCUCAUCCAGCAACUUACAGAGAUAGCUGCAAUGGGUCUUGACUUUUAUCAGCUUGGGGUGGAACAAGAAACAUUCUUCCACUUUCCCUUCAUGCACUGUCAUGACUUAAAUUAUUAUAUACCUUUUUAAACAACUACUGAGACUGCUACCUGUGUGGAAGAAAUUAAUCCCAUCCUUGACCUCGCUUAGGUUUGGAGCAGAGAUUUGGAAGUAUGAGAUGCAGGGCUGCCUCUUCACCCUCAAUUUACUUUUACAGGCUUCUGAAAUAAUUAUUGCAAGCACGUUUAUAUGUAGCAUUCCUUUCUAUUAAAUAAGUGUCUGUCCUCAUGGCUAUUUCUAUUCCAUUACAGUAUCUGUAAGAAUAAUUUUUGGUAUUCUUCUGGUAUAUUUUGGCCCUGAUUAUUGUUAAUGAAGUGAAUAGCUGCCUUCACCAGAAGCUUUCCAUGUGCUGAGAAAAGUCCAAAUCAAGAUUCCUAGCAAUAAAAACC